CAGGCCUAACACAUGCAAGUCGAGCGCCCGGCAACGGGAGCGGCAGACGGGUGAGUAACGCGUGGGGAUCUGCCCGAUGGUACGGAAUAACUCUGGGAAACUGGAAUUAAUACCGUAUAAGCCCGCAAGGGGAAAGAUUUAUUGCCAUCGGAUGAACCCGCGUCAGAUUAGCUAGUUGGUGGGGUAAAGGCUCACCAAGGCGACGAUCUGUAGCUGGUCUGAGAGGAUGAUCAGCCACACUGGGACUGAGACACGGCCCAGACUCCUACGGGAGGCAGCAGUGGGGAAUAUUGGACAAUGGGCGCAAGCCUGAUCCAGCCAUGCCGCGUGAGUGAUGAAGGCCUUAGGGUUGUAAAGCUCUUUCGCCGGUGAAGAUAAUGACGGUAACCGGAGAAGAAGCCCCGGCUAACUUCGUGCCAGCAGCCGCGGUAAUACGAAGGGGGCAAGCGUUGCUCGGAAUCACUGGGCGUAAAGUGCACGUAGGCGGGUCGUUAAGUCAGAGGUGAAAGCCUGGAGCUCAACUCCAGAACUGCCUUUGAUACUG
rnacentral:rRNA from 1 species